AUCAUCAAAACUUUUCACUUUAUGUUCACUACAAACUCUAAUGAUAUCUUGGACGGCCUUCCUUUUGCAAUGGAUUAAUUUCUAUCUACAUUAACUUUGCAAUAUGAUUGUAUAAAUGCAAUGACAUCCAAACCUACAUUCGUAAGAGGGUGCUAUCAAGUCCAAAAUUCUCCAACUCGGGACCUUCUUCACCGGUUUCAUCUGCUCUCG
rnacentral:lncRNA from 1 species